GAUGAACGCUGGCGGCGUGCCUAAUACAUGCAAGUCGAGCGAACAGACGAGGAGCUUGCUCCUCUGACGUUAGCGGCGGACGGGUGAGUAACACGUGGAUAACCUACCUAUAAGACUGGGAUAACUUCGGGAAACCGGAGCUAAUACCGGAUAAUAUAUUGAACCGCAUGGUUCAAUAGUGAAAGACGGUUAUGCUGUCACUUAUAGAUGGAUCCGCGCCGCAUUAGCUAGUUGGUAAGGUAACGGCUUACCAAGGCAACGAUGCGUAGCCGACCUGAGAGGGUGAUCGGCCACACUGGAACUGAGACACGGUCCAGACUCCUACGGGAGGCAGCAGUAGGGAAUCUUCCGCAAUGGGCGAAAGCUUGACGGAGCAACGCCGCGUGAGUGAUGAAGGUCUUCGGAUCGUAAAACUCUGUUAUUAGGGAAGAACAAAUGUGUAAGUAACUAUGCACGUCUUGACGGUACCUAAUCAGAAAGCCACGGCUAACUACGUG
rnacentral:rRNA from 1 species